CAUGAAAUGGUGUUUAUUUAUCAAUAAAUCUUGACUCUUAGAAGAGCUUUGAUUGAAACUUAUUAAUGAAAUUAAACCUUAUAUUUUCAUAAUUGAACAAUUUGUAAUGAAUUGUAUCUGACUUGCAAUUGAUAAAAUCUGGUAACUCAAAGAAGUAGAUUUGGUCAAAAUUCAUAUAUGUAUGAGUGGCAUAGUGAAGGCGGGAAUCAAAUGAAAAGAGUGAUUAGUUCUUUUUUUCUUCCCCUGUUUGCUAGUGAUAUGUUAUUGAGAUUUUUAUUUUAGCUCUAUGUAUUUCAUGUAUUAAACUCGAUUAUUAUGGGAGAAAUCAAGAUUAAUUUAUACAUACCUAUUUACACACAAGAUAUUUCUAAAAGCUUUCAUUUUAUAUGGAUGAAGAGAUAUGGAGAAUUUUUAUCAGUGUACAAAAUUUUAUAACAGUCUGGAACUAAUUAUUACAAAAUUUGUCAGUUUUAUAGCCAGCUGUGAACAUUUACCUAAUCAGGCUAAUGUGAAAGCAGAGUACAGAUUUUUCUCAAAUUUUUGUGAUAUGAAAAUGAUCAAAUUUUGUUGAGAGACACUUAUUAGCUUAUAGAGUUGAAUAUUACCCUGUAUAUUAUUUGAAAGUUUUAUUAACUUUUUCAUAUUCUAUUAGAGAAAAUCAAAUAUGUAGUGCAGCAUCUUUCAAGAAUUUUAUGACACUUGAUAGCUUUGCUAUAACAAAUGUUUUUUGAACAAAUUUAUUGUUGUAGCUUAUAAGAAUUUUUCAAUCAAUUUUUUUCUUACAAUUUUUUCUUAUUGAUGUAUUGUCAUAUUUAUUUAUUGUAAUCUUGUGUACUUUGUUAUCGUAAUACAUUGAUAUUCCAAAAAAUACCUAAUUAAAUAUUUUUU
rnacentral:sRNA from 1 species